UACGGAGGGUGCGAGCGUUACCCGGAUUUACUGGGCGUAAAGGGCGUGUAGGCGGUUUUCUAAGUCCGGGGCUAAAGACCAGGGCUCAACCCUGGGUUUGCCUUGGAUACUGGUAAGCGCGACGGCUGGAGGGGGCAGCGGAAUUUCCGGAGUAGCGGUGAAAUGCGCAGAUACCGGAAGGAACGCCAAUAGCGAAGGCAGCUGCCUGGACAGUACGUGACGCUGAGGCGCGAAAGCUUGGGGAGCAAACCGG
rnacentral:rRNA from 1 species